UGGGGAAUAUUGGACAAUGGGCGCAAGCCUGAUCCAGCCAUGCCGCGUGAGUGAUGAAGGCCCUAGGGUUGUAAAGCUCUUUCACCGGUGAAGAUAAUGACGGUAACCGGAGAAGAAGCCCCGGCUAACUUCGUGCCAGCAGCCGCGGUAAUACGAAGGGGGCUAGCGUUGUUCGGAUUUACUGGGCGUAAAGCGCACGUAGGCGGACUUUUAAGUCAGGGGUGAAAUCCCGGGGCUCAACCCCGGAACUGCAUUUGAUACUGGAAGUCUUGAGUAUGGUAGAGGUGAGUGGAAUUCCGAGUGUAGAGGUGAAAUUCGUAGAUAUUCGGAGGAACACCAGUGGCGAAGGCGGCUCACUGGACCAUUACUGACGCUGAGGUGCGAAAGCGUGGGGAGCAAACAGG
rnacentral:rRNA from 1 species